AGUGAACGCUGGCGGCAGGCCUAACACAUGCAAGUCGAGCGGCAGCGCGGGGGCAACCCUGGCGGCGAGCGGCGGACGGGUGAGGAAUUCGUCGGAAUCUGCCUUUUUGUGGGGGAUAACGUAGGGAAACUUACGCUAAUACCGCAUACGUCCUACGGGAGAAAGUGGGGGACCGCAAGGCCUCACGCAGAAAGAUGAGCCGACGACCGAUUAGCUAGUUGGUGGGGUAAAGGCCCACCAAGGCGACGAUCGGUAGCUGGUCUGAGAGGAUGAUCAGCCACACUGGGACUGAGACACGGCCCAGACUCCUACGGGAGGCAGCAGUGGGGAAUAUUGGACAAUGGGCGCAAGCCUGAUCCAGCCAUGCCGCGUGUGUGAAGAAGGCCUUCGGGUUGUAACGCACUUUUGUCCGGAAAGAAAUCCCUGGAGCUAAUACCUUCGGGGGAUGACGGUACCGGAAGAAUAAGCACCGGCUAACUUCGU
rnacentral:rRNA from 1 species